ACAUUAGACGAAGCGGUCUGGAACGACCCGCGACAGAAGGUAAGAGCCCUGUAGUCGAAAGUGUGUUUCCUCCGGAGUGGAUCCUGAGUACGGCGGAACACGUGAAAUUCCGUCGGAAUCCGGGAGGACCAUCUCCCAAGGCUAAAUACUACCUAGUGACCGAUAGUGAACCAGUACCGUGAGGGAAAGGUGAAAAGCACCCCGGAAGGGGAGUGAAAGAGAUCCUGAAACCGUGUGCCUACAAGUAGUCGGAGCCCUUUCAUGGGUGACGGCGUACCUUUUGUAGAAUGGACCGGCGAGUUACGAUCCCCUGCAAGGUUAAGUGGAAGACACGGAGCCGCAGCGAAAGCGAGUCUGAAUAGGGCGAUAUAGUAGGUGGUCGUAGACCCGAAACCGUGUGAUCUACCCAUGUCCAGGGUGAAGGUCAGGUAACACUGACUGGAGGCCCGAACCCACGUACGUUGAAAAGUGCGGGGAUGAGGUGUGGGUAGGGGUGAAAUGCCAAUCGAACACGGAGAUAGCUGGUUCUCUCCGAAAUAGCUUUAGGGCUAGCCUCAAGGGAUGUAUGUUGGAGGUAGAGCACUGAUUGGACUAGGGGCCCUCACCGGGUUACCGAAUUCAGUCAAACUCCGAAUGCCAAUCAUAUUACCUUGGGAGUCAGACUAUGGGUGAUAAGGUUCAUAGUCGAAAGGGAAACAGCCCAGACCGUCAGCUAAGGUCCCCAAGUAUACGUUAAGUGGAAAAGGAUGUGGCGUUGCUUAGACAACCAGGAUGUUGGCUUAGAAGCAGCCAUCAUUUAAAGAGUGCGUAAUAGCUCACUGGUCGAGUGACGCUGCGCCGAAAAUAUACCGGGGCUAAACGUAUCACCGAAGCUACGGAUUGUUCUUCGAACAAUGGUAGGAGAGCGUUCUAAGUGCAGUGAAGUCAGACCGUGAGGACUGGUGGAGCGCUUAGAAGUGAGAAUGCCGGUAUGAGUAGCGAAAAAGAAGUGAGAAUCUUCUUCACCGAAUGCCUAAGGUUUCCUGAGGAAGGCUCGUCCGCUCAGGGUUAGUCGGGGCCUAAGCCGAGGCCGAAAGGCGUAGGCGAUGGACAACAGGUUGAUAUUCCUGUACCACCCAAUUCCGUUUGAGUGAUGGGGGGACGCAGAAGGAUAAGGAAUGCGCACCAUUGGAUGUGUGCGUCGAAGCAGUAAGAGCGUCAGAUAGGCAAAUCCGUCUGGCAAGCUUGAGCUGUGAUCGGGAGGGAAAUAGAGUACCGAAGUUCCGGAUUUCACGCUGCCAAGAAAAGCCUCUAGCAAGGAAAAGGGUGCCCGUACCGCAAACCGACACAGGUAGGCGAGGAGAGAAUCCUAAGGUGAUCGGGAGAACUCUCGUUAAGGAACUCGGCAAAAUGACCCCGUAACUUCGGGAGAAGGGGUGCUCCUUUAAGGAGGAGCCGCAGUGAAAAGGCCCAAGCGACUGUUUAGCAAAAACACAGGUCUCUGCGAAGCCGAAAGGCGAAGUAUAGGGGCUGACACCUGCCCGGUGCUGGAAGGUUAAGGGGAUGCGUUAGCAUUAGCGAAGCGUUGAACCGAAGCCCCAGUAAACGGCGGCCGUAACUAUAACGGUCCUAAGGUAGCGAAAUUCCUUGUCGGGUAAGUUCCGACCCGCACGAAAGGUGCAACGACUUGGGCACUGUCUCAACGAGAGACCCGGUGAAAUUAUACUAUGCGUGAAGAUGCGCAUUACCCGCGACAGGACGGAAAGACCCCGUGGAGCUUUACUGUAGCCUGAUAUUGAAUGUUGGUACAGCUUGUACAGGAUAGGUGGGAGCCUGAGAAACGUGAGCGCUAGCUUACGUGGAGGCGCCGGUGGGAUACCACCCUGGCUGUAUUGACCUUCUAACCCAGAACCGUGAUCCGGUUCGGAGACAGUGUCAGGUGGGCAGUUUGACUGGGGCGGUCGCCUCCUAAAAUGUAACGGAGGCGCCCAAAGGUUCCCUCAGAAUGGUUGGAAAUCAUUCGUAGAGUGUAAAGGCAGAAGGGAGCUUGACUGCGAGACCUACAAGUCGAGCAGGGACGAAAGUCGGGCUUAGUGAUCCGGCGGUACCGAAUGGAAGGGCCGUCGCUCAACGGAUAAAAGCUACCCCGGGGAUAACAGGCUUAUCUCCCCCAAGAGUCCACAUCGACGGGGAGG
rnacentral:rRNA from 1 species